rnacentral:rRNA from 1 species
AUUGAACGCUGGCGGCAGGCCUAACACAUGCAAGUCGAGCGGAUGAAGGGAGCUUGCUCCUGGAUUCAGCGGCGGACGGGUGAGUAAUGCCUAGGAAUCUGCCUGGUAGUGGGGGAUAACGUCCGGAAACGGGCGCUAAUACCGCAUACGUCCUGAGGGAGAAAGUGGGGGAUCUUCGGACCUCACGCUAUCAGAUGAGCCUAGGUCGGAUUAGCUAGUUGGUGGGGUAAAGGCCUACCAAGGCGACGAUCCGUAACUGGUCUGAGAGGAUGAUCAGUCACACUGGAACUGAGACACGGUCCAGAGUCCUACGCGAGGCAGCAGUGGGGAAUAUUGGACACUGGGCGCAAGCCUGUUCCAGCCCCGCGGCGUGUGUGAAGAAGGUCUUCGGAUUGUAAAGCACUUUAAGUUGGGAGGAAGGGCAGUAAGUUAAUACCUUGCUGUUUUGACGUUACCAACAGAAUAAGCACCGGCUAACUUCGUG